rnacentral:rRNA from 1 species
AGAAACUAACAAGGAUUCCCCUAGUAACUGCGAGUGAAGCGGGAAAAGCUCAAAUUUGAAAUCUGGUAGUCUUUUUGUGGCUGCCCGAGUUGUAAUCUAGAGAAGCAUUUAUCCGCGCUGGACCGUGUACAAGUGUCUUGGAAUAGACCAUCAUAGAGGGUGAGAAUCCCGUCUUUGACCACGGACUACCAGGGCUUUUGUGAUGUGCUCUCAAAGAGUCGAGUUGUUUGGGAAUGCAGCUCUAAAUGGGUGGUAAAUUCCAUCUAAAGCUAAAUAAUGGCAAGAGACCGAUAGUGAACAAGUACCGUGAGGGAAAGAUGAAAAGAACUUUGGAAAGAGGGUUAAACAGUACGUGAAAUUGCUGAAAGGGAAACGCUUGAAGUCAGUCGCGUUGACUGGGGUUCAACUUUGCUUAUAAGCAUUGUUUACUUCCCAGUUGACGGGUCAGCAUCAGUUUUGACUCAAUGGAUAAAGGCUUAAGGGAAUGUGGCACCUCUGGGUGUGUUUAUAGCCCUUGGUCAUAUACAUUGGUUGGGACU